rnacentral:rRNA from 1 species
CCUACGGGAGGCAGCAGUGAGGAAUAUUGGUCAAUGGGCGCGAGCCUGAACCAGCCAAGUAGCGUGAAGGAUGACUGCCCUACGGGUUGUAAACUUCUUUUAUAAAGGAAUAAAGUGAGGCACGUGUGCCUUAUUGUAUGUACUUUAAGAAUAAGGAUCGGCUAACUCCGUGCCAGCAGCCGCGGUAAUACGGAGGAUGCGAGCGUUAUCCGGAUUUAUUGGGUUUAAAGGGAGCGUAGAUGGGUUGUUAAGUCAGUUGUGAAAGUUUGCGGCUCAACCGUAAAAUUGCAAUUGAUACUGGCAGUCUUGAGUACAGUUGAGGUAGGCGGAAUUCGUGGUGUAGCGGUGAAAUGCUUAGAUAUCACGAAGAACUCCGAUUGCGAAGGCAGCUUACUAGACUGCCACUGACAUUGAUGCUCGAAAGUGUGGGUAUCAAACAGGAUUAGAUACCCCAGUAGUC